GUCUGGGUUUGACCCAGCACAAACCCUAGAGGCAGCCAGAUCCCGAGCGCGGCGGCGGCGUGUACCUCGUCGAUGUCGUCGGCAGCUACGAUGGAGUUCGCCCGCAGCCGGCCGGCGACGAUGUAGAGGUGGCGCACGCGAGCAUCUCGUCCUCCUCCGGCCGUGUGGGCCAGCGCUGGUAGACGCGCGACCUUCUCCCUCGACCAACGCCUCAGAACCAUAGCCGCCAUGAGAGGAAACGAAGGCGAGCUCCAAGGACGAGGAGCGCGGCGGCGGCAAGCUCCUCUUCUACCCCGACCGUCUGAGCGAGCGGACGGCGACCAACAGCGGCGGCGCUCGCCGCAGCAGGCAGCAAUAAAAGGUGAAUAAAAAUAGAAUACAACCCUACUCCCUGGUUGCUGGCAUCCAUGGUGCCUUGACUACCACCUGCAGGCAUUGCGCUGAUCCAGAGUACUGGGAUUGUAAAGGGCAAUCUCGCAUUAUGACACUCAUUUGUUGAGAUGGCAAAUGAAGCAUAAUUGUCUGGUUCUUUUUACUGAGAAGGGAAAUGUGCUCUUAGCCGGUAUUGGAGAAUGGAGACUGGUUCCGGUCGUUUUAUGUGGGGAAUUCUGAAGCUCACAAGUUGUGCAGGGAAUGAUGGCAUAUGAUUGAUUAGAAAUUGAAAGGGCUCAUUGAUUAUGCGGAAACAAAUGGCAGUUGUUGUCAUCUUUGUUUUCUGAAAUGGUAUGUAUCUCUUGUUUGGUUCUUUGAAUCCAUGUAUACUUAGUACUUACCAUAUAUUGUUUGUUUUUUGUUGUAUUCUUUGGCCAGAGAAAAUGUUGUGAUCAAGUAAUAAACUAAUCUGCCAAGGACCCUCUGAUUUAACAAUUUAUUUUAUUUCCAGUAGGCUCGCCGGUGCCUGGUCAUAACUGAACUCGAGGUGCCUUACUCACGCGAACGCCUUCGUCACCCCAUGCAGCGCAUACUGUGGCACAAGCCAGUAUGCGGGCAAAGGGCAUAUUUCAGCCUUUUCCAUGCGUAGAUUAUUGUUGUUCAGCUUGUAGUAAGGAUUUGCAGUACUGAUCGACAAUUCGAUAUUGGGUUGUUUCCUAAAAGUUAGUCUUGUGUGUAAAGGCAUGUUUAUGUAUAGAUAGAUUAGCCUUGUCUAUGGCUCAUUGCAGAUCUGGACCGCCUCAGCCCUCAGGCAAUCCUCUUAAAUUUGAUGUUUUUUUAGAGGGAGGGGAUAGCUUAGAAGUUGAAUAGUGCUAUAAAUCUUGGUUCCGACACUCAAAGCAGUAUUUUCAUCAUGUUUACCAAGAAUGAAUGGAAGCAUAGAUUUUAAAAUUGCUACUUUUAGGGGAAAGGAUAUGUGAGAAAAUGAGGGGUGCUAGGGAGGCUUAGUUCUUGUCUAAAAACAAUAUUAAUCUAGGUACAAGUUUAUUGUCUUCCUUUAUGCUUAGUUUGUAAAUAGCGGCUUUAACCAUAUAGGAAAGUAGCAUACCAAAAAUAAGGAUGUGCAGUACUGAUCUGCAGUUCAAUACAAGGUGUUUUAGUUCACGUUAGCCUUGUGUAUAAAUGUAUGUUUUUCUGUAGUGAGGUUAGCCUUCUGUAUGGCUCGGGCUAUAGCGCAGGACUGUGCCUCAGGCAAUCUUUUUGUAGAUUUAUUAAACCAGCGGUGUUUCAUUAGUUGUGCAACAUAAUAUUUGGCAAGUAUAGUGACUGAAGAGACACCCAUAUUUUCUUGAUUUGAACUGAGUUAUUGAGAAUAUUUAGAAGUUAUCUUCUGAACUUUGACUUGGUUUGGCCUAAUAUGCCGCCAAACCCGAGAAUUCAAACAUACUGGUGUUCCUACCAGAUUUGAAAAAUGAAGUAAUAUUGUGGUCUUACACUUGUUUUAUUGUCUCUUUUGUAAUUGUAGGGCACUGAGCUUCAGUUAUGUAUUCCCUAUAUAUGAUACCUUCAGUACCUUGUGUAUAUGCGGCAGAUUCUCUUUCUUACGGAUCAGGUCAUUUUGACUUAAUGUAAACAGCCACUUCAGGGUUUAAUCACUUAUUUUUCCCUUGGCGUUUUGAGCAAGUAGAAACAAAACAAGAUCAGCUCGCACACAUAGUUGGACGAUGCUGUUUAUUAUUUCUUCCUAAUAUGUUGAGGACUCUCCAGCGGCGACACUAGGUACAAAUCCGUUCUUCUUUUCUGAAAUCACGGUUGCCAUUGUUGCCCAGGUGCGUGUUUUAUGUACUCUUAGGUUAUACAAGAAAAGCAGUAAUUAAUUUACUUGUUCCUUACAUAAAUGUUUUUUGAAUGAAUAGUUGUGUUUUAUCUGUGAAGCCAAUAAGAUGGAGUAAAAGUAUGGAGAUUGAAGUAGUAGGUUUAUUGAGUAGGUUCCUAGAUCCGUAUAGUCAUUUGAUUAUUGUGGUAUUAAUAGAUAUUCCAGCCCAGAAGGAUUUUUUUCCAAACCGUCAAUAAUGAAACAUUACUGAAACUUGAAAGCUGAAAUAAGCGUUUGGAGCUGUUCUUCCGUUUAAAGUGGAUAAAGAUGGACCGGGUCUGCUCCUUGUAGGUUAUGCAAAAGUUUUGUGGUACAUCAGCAAGCACUCCUCUAAGGCCCCCCUUCCCAUAUUUCUGGUUCAAAUCUACCCCAUUUGUUUAUACAUGCAAAAAAUAAUUGCUCCAACAUAGGUUUAUUAACUCUUUCUAUUCUUCUUUGCUUUGCUUGAUUUGUUGAGACUUCGGUGUUUUAUUUAAUUGUAGGUUACAUUUGUUGACUACAAUUAGUAGAGGCUUUGGUCUUUUGGGGCCUUGCCACGGUUUCCUUGACUUUUCACAUUGAAGGGAUGCUCUGUAUGGCUAGCAUUUCAUGACCAAAUUGGAGGUCCCAAGCUGCAGUUGAGCUCCCUGUUCUUCAAUUUCAGAAGUUAAGAUAGAAGACUUUGAUUAUCGUAUAUUUAAGGACGUAGAUGUCUUCACUGAAUGAUACUUAUCAUCUUGAAGAAACCUAUUGUAGCAUUCGUUAAUGCUAGGUUUCCUUUUGUUUUUUACUGUUAGGGUUGAACUACAUAUAGCAGAAUAGUUCCCUCAAAUUUCGCAAAUUAACAUUAAGGCAUGUUUUGUUUUAGUUCACAUCCAGAAAGGAAGUCCCAAAUGAAAGUUAAAGUAACCGUAUUGAUGUGCAAAGCGUGUUCUUAUCCCAUAUCCUGACAUGAACUCAUAGCAGCCUCUGCUGUAUUGCAUAAACCAUCCGUGAAGUAGAGUCUACAUUGUAAAUAGUAGCUGAAGGGAUUUGGAGCAUACAUAAAUAUUUUCACCAUGUGAAAUUUAAUUUGCACACAUGAAGAUAUCUUAAAACCACUUAAAUAGGCAAUAUGUUGCUGUUAUAAAAUUUUGAAUGGGUGAAAACAAGUGUCAAUAAAGCCAUUUUCUAGGAGAAACUUACUGCAGCGUAAACGCAAACUACCUGUCUAGGAAACUUUAAAUAGUGACACCAGAGUUUGGUACAUGAAUAACUAUCAUCAGCAAUUCUACUGGGACAGGUUUCCUUUCUUUCUUUGAGAUAUGCUGAAGGCUUUUUAGUGUAUGGUUUUGAAUUCUUUUAUUAGGCUCAUUACCCGUUUGUCCCGUUGGUCUUUUGAGUUAAGUAGUCAUAUUUCUGGAAACCAUUUAAAUGGUAGUCUGAAAAGUACAAAUGGACGAUUAUCAACAGUGGAGACUGUCUGAUUAAUUGUAAUUUGGUCCAGCCAGUAUCCCAUUCAAUACUUUUUGGGUCAGCUUUGGCAUAUUCUUAAUUUCUGAUGAUAGUUAUCGUCUGUUGAAUUUGGCCGUGCCUGACGUGCAAGGUGAGCUAGACGACAUAUCUGGAGAGGAAGAGAGAAUGGCUGCAUCUUAGGUGAAUGGUACUGUACUUGUUGAGGGUAUAUGCCUAUGUUUCGACGUGCUCAAAGGUAAAACAGUAUGCGUGAAUCAGCAAGACUUUGGAAGAUAUUAAGGCACCGCUACUUUCCUUACCACCAGGUAUUUAUUAAAAAUCUCAUACUGGAAUUGUUUAUCGGGGAAUAGCGGAUCAUGGAGAUCUUGCAUAGGCCUGCAGCCGUGACGCUAAAAAGGAUCAAGCACUCCAACAUGAGCAGUGACAGCGGCCUUGUCGGCGACCAUGCGGCGCCUGCUUCAUGUAUUAACAACUAGGUGCAGCCCAACCUCACAUAGUCCUAACACUUACAAUUAUGCCCUGCAUUUUCCUAACCUCUGUACGUAAAAAUAUACAUGCACUGAAUUAUUGAUAAUGUGAUUUUUGGUUCACAACUGCAUACUAAAAAGGAAACAGAAUUACUCAUGAGUGUGCUUUUCGGAUCACAGUUGCAGACUAAAAAAAGGAGUGUCUACAUAGCUUUGAUCGAUAAUCCUCUUAUUUUGUUUUUAUUUAAAAAAAGGAGUGUCUACAUAGCUAUGAUGAAUUUCCAUAUUUCCUUUUCUAGGUGUGCAAUUGAUGGCCUUAUAUGCAUUGUCCUGUGGAGGGCUUUUUGUGCAUGAUAUGUGUAUUGGAUCUCUGCUCUUUCUUUCAUAUUGGAUCCCUUUUUUUAUGUCAAACUUUUCCUUAUUUUGAACUGAUUGUGUCCUGAUGAUUACUACUUUCAGGGUUACAAGGAAGACGAGAGGUACCCUUCCAGUGAUUUUGACCUUCAUGUUACGAUACCUGGCUUAUAGGGCAUCCCUGUCAAAUAUGGAUUGAGUGUGAGGUUGUAUGUUUCUGAUUUUUAGUUUUUUCGUAUGAUUUGCUCUAUGUAGGGGAAGUUUAUUUUCAUCUCUAUGUAUAAAGUUGGAACAAGAUGGGCAGAAAGCUUGCCUCCACAGAGAAAAUCGUUCCAAGUGUUUCAGUUAUAUUUUAUGCUCAUUCCCUA